AGGGAAGAUGCCCGUUACGGCGGGAGAGACGGUACCUCUGAAGAAAGCUCCGGCUAACUCCGUGCCAGCAGCCGCGGUAAUACGGAGGGAGCAAGCGUUGUCCGGAUUUACUGGGCGUAAAGGGCGCGUAGGCGGAACGGUCAGUCGAUGGUGAAAUCUUCAGGCUUAACCUGGAAAUUGCCUUCGAUACUGCCGUUCUUGAGUGCAGGAGAGGGCAGUGGAAUUCCCGGUGUAGCGGUGGAAUGCGCAGAUAUCGGGAGGAACACCCGUGGCGAAGGCGGCUGCCUGGCCUGACACUGACGCUGAGGCGCGAAAGCGUGGGGAGCAAACAGGCUUAGAUACCCUGGUAGUCCACGCUGUAAACGAUGAGCACUAGGUGUCGGAGGAAUUGACCCCUCCGGUGCCGUAGUUAACGCAUUAAGUGCUCCGCCUGGGGAGUACGAUCGCAAGGUUGAAACUCAAAGGAAUUGACGGGGGCCCGCACAAGCGGUGGAGCAUGUUGUUUAAUUCGAUGCAACGCGAAGAACCUUACCUGGCCUGGAAGCACAGCUGCUCAUCCGGUGAAAGCCGGACUCCUUCGAGGGUGCUGUGGAGGUGCUGCAUGGCUGUCGUCAGCUCGUGUCGUGAGAUGUUGNGUUAAGUCCCGCAACGAGCGCAACCCUUACCGUUAGUUGCCAUCAGGCCCUUGUGGCGCUGGGAACUCUAACGGGACUGCCCGGGUUAACCGGGAGGAAGGUGGGGAUGACGUCAAGUCCUC
rnacentral:rRNA from 1 species